rnacentral:tRNA from 1 species
GUUAUAAUAGUUUAAUUAAAAACUUUGGUUUUGUAAACCAAAAUUAGAUUUCUAUCUUUAUAAUU